rnacentral:ncRNA from 1 species
GAGUAAUCAAUCAUUAAGGAACUCGGCAAAUUGACUCCGUAACUUCGGGAGAAGGUGGGCCAUUUUUUUUAUAUUUUAUAUAAAAAGAAUAGGAAGCAUAAAAUAGUGUUGUACGACUGUUUAAUUAAAACACAGCACUCUGCGAAGGUUAAUUCGAUGUAUAGAGUGUGAUGUCUGCCCCGUGUCGACCGGGUAACUGAUUUUCUUGAUUUAAAAGGUCAGGUUUUGAUGGAAACCCCGAUAAACGGCGGCCUUAUCUAUGAGGGUCCUAAGGUAGCGGAAUACCCUGGCCGUUAAAUGCGGUCUUGCAUGAAUGAUGUAACGAUACAACAGCUGUCUCGAUGAUUGGCUCAGUGAAAUUGGAAUAACAGUGCAGAUACUGUUUACUUCUAGAUAGACGAGAAGACCCUAUGCAGCUUUACUGUUACUAAUUUAGACUAUAAUAUAAGAAUUUUCAGUGUAUAAGGUAGAGCUAAAUUAUACCGUGCAGGUUAUAAUAUCAACAAUGAGACAACCUUUAUUUACUUUAUUAUAGUCAUUUGAUUAGAAGACAGUUUAUGCGGGGCACAGAUCCCAUAAAAAGUACCUGGGUAUAUCUAAUAUUCUAAUAGUAGAAAUUCAUUUUUUGUAAUGAAAGCUUAAAAACAACAAAAAACUUUUUUGUUGUUUUUAAGUUCGUAAUGUUUCUUAAUUUGUUAUUAAUUAUGUUUAAUUAAUUAUCCAAUUACCGUAUGUUUUAAAUACAAUUAUAUAAUUAUUUAAAGUAAGAUUUUAACUAUGUGGRAAAUAGUUGUAUAAAAAAUGUUAAUAURUCUAUUAACAUUUAUAUUUGUAAUAUAUUAACGUAUUACGAUUCUUAAUUAUACUGUCAAAGUUUAAUGGCUUAAUCUUGCUUUACUGUCAGACCUACAAGUCCAUCAGUCGCGUAAGCGGGGCAUAUGAUCGCAAGAUACUGAAAGGAAAGGUCUUGUAUUUUUGAAAAAGUUACGCUAGGGAUUAAAUGUUAGUCCUCCAAUNNNNNNNNNNNNNNNNNNNNNNNNNNNNNNNNNNNNNNNNNNNNNNNNNNN